ACAAAGAUAGAGAAGGAGGAAAAAAUAAACCUUGCGAUUCAGAGAUGAGAAGAAGACAGACGUUGAGAGAACUAUCACCGGUUUGGAGAGGGCAAAAACAGAGAAAUAAGAGAGAAACAAGAGUUCGUUAUUUGGAAAGAGCAGAAACCUUUAUCGAUACCAUUUGGAGGACAGAAAAACAGCGAGUCGGAGAUUGAAGAAGUUUGAUUUUUUUAAUUUGAUUUUGAUUGUCAAUUUGUCAAUUUGAUUUUUUUUUUUUUUCAAUUAGUUUGUUCUGGGAAUAGGAACAAUUAAAUAGGAAUGUUGAUUGAAAUCACUAGCAGACAACUAACUUGCGGAGAAUGACUUAGUUUUGGUUGAUUAGUAGUUUGGAUUUGUUUUGAUUAACGUUUUUGGAAUCCAUUUAUAUAUAUAUAUAUAUAUAUGGGCAUGUUGUUCCUUUGGGAAGGUUACCGUGUAAAUUUUAAGGAUUUCUCUGUUUUUCAGCAUUGAUAAAGAUUACUGAUAUAGACGCUUUUAUGCUAU